UACAGAGGGUGCGAGCGUUUAAUCGGAAUUACUGGGCGUAAAGCGCGCGUAGGCGGCUUUGCAAGUCGGGUGUGAAAUCCCCAGGCUUAACCUGGGAACUGCAUUCGAGACUGCAUAGCUAGAGUAUGGGAGAGGAAGUGGAAUUUCAGGUGUAGCGGUGAAAUGCGUAGAUAUCUGAAGGAACAUCAGUGACGAAAGCGACUUCCUGGACCAAUACUGACGCUCAUGUGCGAAAGCGUGGGGAGCAAACAGG
rnacentral:rRNA from 1 species